rnacentral:rRNA from 1 species
UCUGACGUUAGCGGCGGACGGGUGAGUAACACGUGGAUAACCUACCUAUAAGACUGGGAUAACUUCGGGAAACCGGAGCUAAUACCGGAUAAUAUAUUGAACCGCAUGGUUCAAUAGUGAAAGACGGUUUUGCUGUCACUUAUAGAUGGAUCCGCGCCGCAUUAGCUAGUUGGUAAGGUAACGGCUUACCAAGGCAACGAUGCGUAGCCGACCUGAGAGGGUGAUCGGCCACACUGGAACUGAGACACGGUCCAGACUCCUACGGGAGGCAGCAGUAGGGAAUCUUCCGCAAUGGGCGAAAGCCUGACGGAGCAACGCCGCGUGAGUGAUGAAGGUCUUCGGAUCGUAAAACUCUGUUAUUAGGGAAGAACAAAUGUGUAAGUAACUAUGCACGUCUUGACGGUACCUAAUCAGAAAGCCACGGCUAACUACGUGCCAGCAGCCGCGGUAAUACGUAGGUGGCAAGCGUUAUCCGGAAUUAUUGGGCGUAAAGCGCGCGUAGGCGGUUUUUUAAGUCUGAUGUGAAAGCCCACGGCUCAACCGUGGAGGGUCAUUGGAAACUGGAAAACUUGAGUGCAGAAGAGGAAAGUGGAAUUCCAUGUGUAGCGGUGAAAUGCGCAGAGAUAUGGAGGAACACCAGUGGCGAAGGCGACUUUCUGGUCUGUAACUGACGCUGAUGUGCGAAAGCGUGGGGAUCAAACAGGAUUAGAUACCCUGGUAGUCCACGCCGUAAACGAUGAGUGCUAAGUGUUAGGGGGUUUCCGCCCCUUAGUGCUGCAGCUAACGCAUUAAGCAC